rnacentral:rRNA from 1 species
UACAGAGGUCCCAAGCGUUGUUCGGAUUCACUGGGCGUAAAGUGUGCGCAGGCGGCAGAGCAAGUCGAGUGUGAAAGCCCCGGGCUUAACUUGGGAAUUGCGCUCGAAACUACUUUGCUGGAGUGUGGCAGAGGAAGGUGGAAUUCCACGUGUAGCGGUGAAAUGCGUAGAGAUGUGGAGGAACACCAAUGGCGAAGGCAGCCUUCUGGGCCAACACUGACGCUCAUGCACGAAAGCGUGGGGAGCAAACAGG